GAAAACAGACACGAUGCUUUUUCAUUUGAACUGGACUUAAGCCGGUCUAAAUAGUUGGCUCUUGCAUUUGAGAGAGGGAGGGAGAGAUAAAGCAAAACGCCAAAAACACUCCCACCUCUUUCUACUUCGUGCAUUCGAUUGAGAAAAACUCUAACGAAGAAGGAAAAGGACUUGAUUGAAGGCGUCAUUCAUGCAAGCUCUGAACCAUUUAUUGCCUCUGAAGGGCAUUGUCAAACUAUAGGAUUGAGGUAUGCAAAGUACUUGGAAUAGUAGAGGAGCAAUGCGAGUUGUCAAUGGAAAUGUCUGGUGACUUAGAGCAAGUACUUACAUAACUGGUAGAAAAAUGCAAGUAAAAUGUCAGUAUCAUGGUCUCGGAGAACUAGGACUUAUAUUACAGAUCUAGAACUGAUGAAGGAGAUUUUGUUAUACAAGUUUGAACACUUUGAGAGGUCCAAACCAAAUCCUCUUGCAAGGUUGUUAGCAGGUGGACUUGUAAGCUAUGAGGGAAAAAAAUGGGUUAAGCAUAGAAGGAUCAUCAACCCCGCUUUCCAUCUAGAAAAUCUAAAGGUUUAACCAUUAUGUUAAGUGGAUUUGCAUUGGAAGAUAUACUGCAAUAUUCAACAAUGAUUUGCAUUGGAAGAUGUGCUACAAUAUUCAACAAUGCUUAGCAUUGGAAGAUGUGCUAUACUAUUCAACAAAUUGAUUUUUUAAAGUCCUUGUAUUUUUUAUAUGUCAAUUGGGUAUUGUAUUUGAACAAUUUGUA